AUUGAACGCUGGCGGCAUGCCUUACACAUGCAAGUCGAACGGUAACAGGUCUUCGGAUGCUGACGAGUGGCGAACGGGUGAGUAAUACAUCGGAACGUGCCUAGUAGUGGGGGAUAACUACUCGAAAGAGUGGCUAAUACCGCAUGAGAUCUACGGAUGAAAGCAGGGGAUCGCAAGACCUUGUGCUACUAGAGCGGCCGAUGGCAGAUUAGGUAGUUGGUGGGAUAAAAGCUUACCAAGCCGACGAUCUGUAGUUGGUCUGAGAGGACGAUCAGCCACACUGGGACUGAGACACGGCCCAGACUCCUACGGGAGGCAGCAGUGGGGAAUUUUGGACAAUGGGCGAAAGCCUGAUCCAGCAAUGCCGGGUGCAGGAUGAAGGCCUUCGGGUUGUAAACUGCUUUUGUACGGAACGAAAAGCCCCGGGUUAAUACCCUGGGGUCAUGACGGUACCGUAAGAAUAAGCACCGGCUAACUACGUGCCAGCAGCCGCCGUAA
rnacentral:rRNA from 1 species